rnacentral:pre_miRNA from 1 species
AUGAAGGGCAAUCUCUGUCUUUCAGUUGAGAUAAAUUACUAUAAAGAAAGUAAUGCUAGAUAAUUUUCCCUUCAAGUCAAAUAUCUUGU